AUCUCUUUUCUUUUAAUAUCUCAGUCCUUGUAAUGGCUGCCAAUAGCUCCUUAAAUCAUUCAUUCUCUCUAUUUAGAGAUUUUCUUUCUGAUAGCCCGUUUUCUAGAGGAGAGCUCUUGUAGGAGAGCGGCUAAGGUACUGAUAGAAGAGUUGGAAGAAAAGGAGUUGUUGUUUAAAUGUAAGAAAUGGAGCGGAGAAGAGACUAAGUUAACUUUUGAGGAAAUCAAACGCGCUGCGCGCAUUAUCGGCGCAUAUUUAAUUAGUGGGUGUGGUCAAUAAUUUAAUUAUUAAUGAACCUCUCUCUCUAGUCUAAGAGAAAUGUCCACAUAUCCUCAGAUUAUUUAUUAUUAUUGUGUAAUGAGUUGUGCUCUCAGUUGGAGUCAUCAGGUUCCAUUAGAAGAGGAGGAGGGGGAGGUCACUCACUAAUUGGGAAUGAGAUAUCAUCAUUUAUUUAUAAUAAUAAUUAUUAUAAUAAUGUUUCUAGUUUGUUAAAGUUAACUAAUCAAAAACAUGAUUUCACAACUGAUCACUUACAAACAGUCGUGACGCCAACGGUACCGGAAGUCAUAAGAGCCUGUAUAAUUUUAUUGUAAUACACUUGACAGUAUGAAUAAUUAAUGAGUUGCUACUUUAUUUUAUAUUUAUUUUUCAUUUAAUAGUUUUACUAUGAAAUUUGCAUACAAUACACAGAACAUACAUAUUUAUCACUAUAAAAAACAUCAACCAGUUUAAAUAAACUAUAACAGAACUGCAAGCAACUGAUGUCCUUGACUUUACCGGAUGCGUACAGUGUUCUAGACAACUCCAGCUUCUUGUCCAUUCGCUUACAACAAGAUAGUAGCUAGAAGAAUAUACUCCAGAAGUUUAAAGUUGUUCCAGCAAGAAAUAAGGAUGCUGUGGUCUCUGAAAGUCAAUGGCACAUAAUAUGACUAUAAUGACAAGUAUAAAAUCUAGCUCUAAAAGGAUUUCAAACAAUUCUAUUGAGGUAAAAUGACUUGAUUAAUGAUCCUGAGUGUGGAAUCUGUAGAAAAAAG